rnacentral:rRNA from 1 species
ACGCUCGACACCUACUGGAGGCAGCAGUGGGGAAUAUUGCACAAUGGGGGAAACCCUGAUGCAGCGACGCCGCGUGAAGGAAGAAGUAUCUCGGUAUGUAAACUUCUAUCAGCAGGGAAGAAAAUGACGGUACCUGACUAAGAAGCCCCGGCUAACUACGUGCCAGCAGCCGGGUAAUCUGAGCGGGCUGGCAAGGC